rnacentral:rRNA from 1 species
GAUGAACGCUAGCGGCAGGCCUAAUACAUGCAAGUCGAACGGUGUCUUCGGACAUAGUGGCGCACGGGUGCGUAACACGUAUGCAACCUACCUUACAUUGGGGGAUAGCCUUUCGAAAGGGAGAUUAAUACCGCAUAAGACAGUAGCUGGGCAUCCAGCAGCUGUUAAAGAUUUAUCGAUGUAAGCUGGGCAUGCGUCCAAUUAGCUAGUUGGUGAGGUAACGGCUCACCAAGGCAAUGAUUGGUAGGGGAACUGAGAGGUCAAUCCCCACACGGGCACUGAGAUACGGGCCAGACUCCUACGGGAGGCAGCGGUAGGGAAUAUUGGGCAAUGGACGCAAGUCUGACCCAGCCAUGCCGCGUGCAGGAUGAAGGCGUUAUGCGUUGUAAACUGUUUUUAUACAGGAAGAAACGACUCUUGCGAGAGGCAUUGACGGUACUGUAUGAAUAAGCACCGGCUAACUCCGUGCCAGCAGCCGCAGUAAAAC